rnacentral:rRNA from 1 species
AUGAGAAUUUUAGUGUGGAACUGCCGGGGAUUGGGGAACGGCCCGGCAGUAAGAGGACUUCUGGAUCUCCAGAAGCAGGUGGACCCCGACAUCCUUUUCUUAUCUGAAACCAAGAGGGAUGAGAGGAGGAUGGAAAGAUUUAAAUGGAUGUUAGGGAUGGGGAACAUGGUAGUCAAAGAUUGUGAAGGGAAGAGUGGGGGAUUGGCGUUGCUAUGGAAAAAAGAAGUAAAUCUAGAGCUGCACAACUACUCUAGAUAUCACAUUGAUGCUAUAAUAGAGGAAAGAGAUGGUUUCAAAUGGCGAUUUACAGGCAUCUAUGGAGAACCAGCAAGUGACAAAAGGAAGAUAACAUGGAGGUUAAUGCGCAUCCUAAAUCAGCAGUUAAACCUCCCAUGGUUAUGCGCUGGCGAUUUUAAUGAGAUCAUGUAUAAUCAUGAGAAGAAAGGGGGGCCAGCUAGAGCACAAAGCCAAAUGGAGAAUUUUAGAGCAGCUCUAGCAGACUGUGGAUUGACAGAUUUGGGCUAUGUGGGGGACAAAUACACAUGGCGCAAUCAGAGUUGGGAUGUUAAACGCUUUGUUAAAGAAAGAUUGGAUAGAGCAGUGGGGACAAAGAGCUGGUGCACAAGAUUCCCUUACUUCAAAGUUUUAAAUGGGGACCCAUACCACUCAGAUCACAGACCAGUAACCAUCCAAAUAGAAGAAUCUGAGAGUUCACAUAUGCCCAGGAGAAGGAUUCGCAGCUUCAGGUUUGAAGCUAGAUGGUUACAAGAAGAGGAAUGUGAGUUUUUGGUUAAUAAUGCUUGGGCUAAAGCUAGCAUACAAGGGGAACAUAAUACCCAGGGGAUGUUACGCAUGGUAGCAAGAGAGUUAAAGGACUGGGAUGCUAAUGUUUUAGGCGAUCUCCAAAAGCGUAUUAAAACCCUUAAGAAAGAACUGGAGGAGGUACGCAGAGGGGACAUCAACCAAGAAGGAGUCAGCAGAGAGCACUUAUUAAUGGAGAAGGUAGACCGUUUGGAACAGCAGCAAGAUACGCAUUGGAAACAACGAGCCCAUAUUAAAUGGUUGCAAGAUGGUGACAAGAACACAUCCUUCUUUCAUGAUUUUGCCUCCGAAAGAAAGAAAAGGAAUACCAUUAAGAAACUUAAAAGGGAGGGUGGUAGUUGGGUGGAGGGGCAGGAACAUUUGAAAGAGCAUAUUGCAAACUACUUUUCAAAUAUAUUCUCCUCCACGAUGACAGGAGAUAAUGGGGAAAUUAUGCGAGUGGUGCAGCCAAAGGUGACGCCAGAGAUGAAUGACAUGCUAUGUGCUGAAUAUACAGAAGAGGAGGUGAAAAGAGCCUUAGAUAGCAUCGGUGACUUAAAAGCUCCAGGACCUGAUGGUAUGCCAGCCAUUUUCUUUAAAAGGUUUUGGAAAACAGUGGGGAACCAGAUCACUAAAGAAGUUCUGCAUAUAUUGAGAGGAGGAGAUAUGCCUGAAGGAUGGAAUGAUACCCUAAUAGUGCUUAUUCCGAAGAACACCAAGCCAAUGAGCUUAAAGGAUCUAAGACCUAUAAGUUUGUGCAAUGUGGUAUAUAAGGUGGUCUCUAAGGCAAUCACAAAUAGACUCGAGGAAAUUCUCCCCCACAUUGUCUCCCCUAAUCAGAGUGCCUUUGUACCCGGAAGACUAAUUUCAGAUAAUAUUCUAUUGGCAUAUGAACUAACACAUUUCCUACAAAGGAAAAGAAGGGGUCCCGUGGGCUAUGCGGCCAUCAAACUGGACAUGAGCAAAGCUUACGACCGCGUUGAAUGGAAAUUUUUAGAAGAUAUGAUGAAAAGAUUGGGUUUUGAUAGGAAUUGGAUCAGACUGAUAAUGAAGUGUGUCUCAACUGUCAAGUACCAAAUCAAGGUGAACCAAGAUACAACUGAUAUGAUUACACCCCAAAGAGGACUGCGCCAAGGAGAUCCACUUUCCCCUUAUUUGUUCGUCAUCUGUGCUGAGGGGUUCUCCUCUAUGUUAUAUGAAGCUGAGAUGAGGAGAUCACUAAAAGGAAUCAAGGUAUGUAGGGGAGCCCCUAGUGUAAGCCAUCUAUUCUUUGCGGAUGAUUCAUUACUUCUAUUGGAGGCCAAUGCUGAAAGUGCUCAGGAAAUUAAUAGAAUUCUAAAUCUUUAUGAAGCUGCUUCAGGACAAGUGAUUAAUAAAGAUAAAUCCUCAAUACUAUUCAGUGCAAACACAAGGCAAGGGUUGAAGGAAAAAAUGAAAAGCAUUCUGCAAGUUACCUCUCAAGGUCUAUUCCCAAGAUAUCUUGGUGUUCCAUCCUAUGUGGGUAAGGCCAAAGCAAGAACCUUUGAGUAUGUAAAAGAGAGGGUGUGGAAAA